UAAAAAUUAAAGGGCCCUUAAGGUCAUAUCAGUUACAAACAAGUGAAAAAGACACAAAAAAGAGAAAAAGCCUACUCCUACUCCAUGGUCCAUGACUUUCUAUGACACAUUCUACAAUUUCAAGCACUAUUAGCUUUUAUGUUCUUCUGUUGAGCAAAUAUGCGCAAAUUUAACCAAAAGACUGGAAAAUUAGAAUCAUUGCAGGCUGGGACUAAUAGACGUAUUUUACAUUUGAAUGCAUUACUUAAAGACACACACAAUUUCCGUUAUCCUCUAUACCUCAAAAGUCCUUCAAACAAAAGUUGAUAGAUAGAUGUCUGACUGUAAAUCCGAUAAAACGAAAAUCUAAAUUAAGCCGGAAACUGAAAUUUAAUUAUAAAGUGUUGUCAACCUUGUUCUUACUACCGUAACUUUCUUUUUAUUAUUUAAUGUUAUCUUUUAUUGUUAGAUAAAAUUUAACUACAACUUUA